GGGUCGUUUAACAAAAAAAACCAGACUGCUUGUCUUAAAACGCAAGCGAUAGCCUGAGCGUUCGUCGCUUAUAGCGGCGUCGCUCGAAAUGAUACAUGGUUUAUUUUCGAAAGCAGCGGCGUGCUGAUAUAUCGUACAGAGAGAGACGUACGAGUAACACCCGUCGAGUCCCGGAGCUCUUGCGCGUUUGCAUUUACUGCGAUCGCGCCGGGCGGACCGACGCUUGGUUCGUUACUCUGGUUCUCGAAGACGAUUCCACGUUCCGUAUCUGAAUGACCAUGCAAACAAACAAUAAUGUUUUUAAUCGACGACCUCAGAGCAGGCGAGACUACCCGCUGAAUUUAA
rnacentral:rRNA from 1 species